AGUGAACGCUGGCGGUAGGCCUAACACAUGCAAGUCGAACGGCAGCACAGUAAGAGCUUGCUCUUACGGGUGGCGAGUGGCGGACGGGUGAGGAAUACAUCGGAAUCUACUUUUUCGUGGGGGAUAACGUAGGGAAACUUACGCUAAUACCGCAUACGACCUACGGGUGAAAGCAGGGGAUCUUCGGACCUUGCGCGAUUGAAUGAGCCGAUGUCGGAUUAGCUAGUUGGCGGGGUAAAGGCCCACCAAGGCGACGAUCCGUAGCUGGUCUGAGAGGAUGAUCAGCCACACUGGAAAUGAGAAACGGCCCAGACCCCUAGGGGAGGCAGGAGGGGGGAAUAUGGGACAAGGGGCGCAAGCCUGAUCCAGCCAUACCGCGGGGGUGAAGAAGGCCUUCGGGUUGUAAAGCCCUUUUGUUGGGAAAGAAAAGCAGCAGGUUAAAACCCCGCUGUUCUGACGGGACCAAAAGAAUAAGCCCCGGCUAACUUCGG
rnacentral:rRNA from 1 species